GACGGAGGGUGCUAGCGAUGUUCGGAAAUACUGGGCGUAAAGGGCGCGUAGGCGGCCUGGUCAGUCGGGUGUGAAAGCCCGGGGCUCAACCCCGGAAGGGCACCCGAGACGGUCAGGCUGGAGACCGGGAGAGGAGGGUGGAAUAGCCAGUGUAGAGGUGAAAUUCGUAGAGAUUGGCGGGAACACCGGUGGCGAAAGCGGCUCUCUGGCCCGGUUCUGACGAUGAGGCGAGAAAGCGUGGGGAGCAAACAGG
rnacentral:rRNA from 1 species